rnacentral:rRNA from 1 species
UACGGGGGGAGCAAGCGUUGUUCGGAUUUACUGGGCGUAAAGGGCGCGUAGGCGGCCACCGCAGGUCAGUUGUGAAAUCUCCGAGCUUAACUCGGAAAGGUCAACUGAUACUGCGGGGCUAGAGUGCGGAAGGGGCAACUGGAAUUCUUGGUGUAGCGGUGAAAUGCGUAGAUAUCAAGAGGAACACCUGCGGCGAAGGCGGGUUGCUGGGCCGACACUGACGCUGAGGAGCGAAAGCGUGGGGAGCGAACAGG